AGGUACUCUUUAUGUCCUCAUUAUGAGCAUGCUAUAAUUAUUGUCUUUGUUCAUUAUAUAGGAAUACUUUGCAUUUGAUGUGUUUCAGAGAUUUGAAUAAUUGCAAGAAUAUAAAAUGGAAUUCACUUGAAUUAUUAUACAGAAGAGAACACUACUCAUCUAACUAUACAUUCAUUUUUGCUUUAUUAUUUUCAAUUGUUUGUCAUUUUACCUACUGAAAAAUUGCUAUUACUUCA